ACCCCUCCUACCGGCAAAGAGGGAGAAAAGACCCUAUCAGCAGUAGACACGUGGACGGCAACCUCCCUGAACAGCCUGGUGAGAGCUCAGGGCAGACAGGUCCACUGCUCCAGAAACGCCCACGUGUGGAGGAAAUGAAAUUAAGGCUUUUAAUAGACAUACAGAAAAUAGCCUGGGAUCGAAUAACUUCAGUUAACUAAACUAGAACUAAACCAUAAACUUAACUUUGGCUAAAAUGUGAGCAUGUCCACGAAGACAGUUUGCAGCUUGGCUGCUCUGGAAGGGAGGGGCCAUCUGGAGCCCUGCGGGGACCAUCACGCCCAGACUUACGCCUUGGACACGUCAUGUUCUCCAUAGAGCCAGCCAUCCUUCUCCUCGGGGAUGAGCAGCGUGAUGACAUCUCCCUGUGCAAAGCUGAGUAAGGUCUUGUUGGAGCCCGCAGUGUGCGGGAAGAUGGUCUUCACUUUCUGCUUCUUCAUCAUGUUCAGUCCCGUUGCAACCGAAACUGAUCGCUGUAAACUGGGAUCUUCGGAAGUACCUGUUGGAGGGAGUGUAGCAGUAAUGGCUUUUCAAAGCAUGAGAAUCAAUAGGCACAUUCCAAUGAGCAAACCCCAGGAAUCCACCUGUUCUCAUCUUGCCAACAACGCUCCUUCCCCUGAAACUGACCCUGUCCUAUUUCCUCGCUUUGAUCAUUGCCCAGAAGGGACAGGGACUGUUGAAAACAGAGACAGCGUGCAGCCUGAAGGCAUGCACCGUGCGGAAGAGGAUCCCUGCGGCUGCGGGCUCUUUUCCAGGCCCAAGGACAAGGCGGUGUGUGCCGGGUUGAUCUGCACUCUGCUUUAGCCAGGAUGGCUCUUCUUAGAGAGGCAAACUGCUCCAACGCCAAACUGCCCUCGCAAUUCCAAUCGCAAAGGCAGGCUAGGGCCACAGUUCAAACCCAACUGCCAAUGUCCACAAAGAAAAGAAGAAAGCUGGAAAUGCAGUCGGUCUUGCCAUGCUGGCCGCUCAGCUUCUCACCCCCAGGCCUAAGAAGGACGAGGUGAGGAUGAGUUCCAUUUACAGAGUCCUCACCAGGUGCCAGUCACCGAUCUCAAUGUCUCACAGCUGCCAUCCCGCCAGGCUCCCAGGAGGAAGGUGCUGCUAUUUAUUAUCCACAAGACAGACCCCACAGCUGGCAAGUGGCUGGGCCAGGAACCAGCUAGGGCAGGUUUGUCCCAUACUCUCUACCCAUGAGCACGAGGCUGUGCUGUUCAUGUCUCCAUUCAAACACAGGCUGAUAUUUCCACUCCAGGGGAAAAAAGGUAGAAAAAAAAUAUAUAUAUGUAUGUAUAUACAUUUGAGACACAGUCUCACUCUGUUACCCAGGCUGGUGUGCAGUGGCAGGAUCACAGCUCACUGUAGUCUGGACUUCCCAGGCUUAAAGGAUCCUCCCUCCUCAGCCUCCUAAGUAGCUGGGACUACAGGCACACGCCGCCAUGCCAGGCUCAUUUUUAAAUUUUUUUGUGUCUCGCUAUGUUGCCCAGCCUGGUCUUGACCUCCUGGCCUCAAGUGAUCCUCCCAGCUUGGCCUCCCAAAGUGCUGGGAUUACAGGUUUGAGCCACUGCUUCUGGCCGUUUUUUUUUUCCAUUCAAAUUUUCCCAGGCUAGUAAUACAACAAGCAUCUUUAAUUUAAAACAAUGCAAGAUCUCUUUCUGCUUUAUUCUUGCAGAUUCUUCAUGAUUACAACAUAAACCUUGCGCCCCCUUAACCUGCCACUCUCUACUUCGCUGGUGUUGAACCCACCAGCAGUUUUCUUUCUUUUUUGAGACAGAGUCUCGCUCUGUCGCCCAGGCUGGAGUGCAGUGGUGUGAUCUCGGCUCACUGCAACCUCUACCUCCUGGGUUCAAGCAAUUCUCCUGCCUCAGCCUCCUGAACAGCUGGAAUUACAGGUGCGUGCCACCAUGCUCGGCUAAUUUUUGUAUUUUUAGUAGAGACAGGGUUUCACCAUAUUGGCCAGGCUGGUCUCGAACUCCUGAGAUCGAGAUCCACCUACCUUGGCCUCCCAAAGUGCUGGGAUUACAGGCAUGAGUCUCUGCGCCCAAUCCUCCACCAGCAAUUUUCAUUCUGCUUUUACCAAUAAGAACCAGAGUCAUCUGAAUCACUGGGAUGCAUAGAGUAUUACAUACUUUAACUGUGUAUUUUAGUUAACUGACAGGACUUCCUUCAAAGGCAAAUGCCUACAGACCAUCAUCUUCCUCUGCUGGGCCAUCCUAGUCAUCAUUCUGGAAAACUCUGUUCUUUUGCCCAAUAGCUUCACACGCUGUGGUCCAGGGCUCGCUGUCACAAACAGCUUGACUGCCGCAACCUUCACACCAUGGGGGCCUGUGAGACACCCCACGUGGAUGGGUUGGGGCCAUGGCACAGGUCUCAAGGGUCCUGGGUGCUAAAGACUGUGCAGAAGGACGGGGUCUGACCAGUGAAGCAGCUGGCAACAUCUGCAGACGGUCACUGGCUCCAACUUUUGUUUUUGUCACUGUGUCACCCAGGCUGGAGUGCAGUGGCGCGACCUCAGCUCAUUGCAACCUCCGCCUCCUGGGUUCAAGUGAUUCUUGUGCCUCAGCCUCCUGAGUAGCUGGGAUUACAGGCUUGAGCUACCAUGCCUGGCUAAAUUUUAGUAUUUUUAGUAGAGAUGGGGGUUUCACUAUGUUGGCCAGGCUGGUCUCGAACUUCUGGUCUCAAGCGAUCCACCCGCCUCGGACUCCCAAAGUGCUGAGAUUACAGGCGUGAGCCACUACGUCUGGCCCCAGCUUGUUGAAAUAUAGUCAACAGAAUUAAGAAAUCCAAGUUGGAACUUAAGUUCUUCAAAGAGCAUGAGGUGCUCUGUUAGAGAUGAUGAAAAACACUGAUUAGAAUUCAAACCAGCUGGGCAUGGUGGCUCACACCUGUAUUCCCAGCACUUGGGGAGGCCCAGGCAGGUGGAUCACCUGAGGUCAGGAGUUCAACACCAGCCUGGCCAACAUGGUGAGGCCCCAUUUCUACUAUAAAUACAAAAAUUAGCCAAGCUUGGUGGCGCAUGCCUGUAGUCUCAGCUACUUGGGAAGCUGAGGCAGGAGAAUCGCUUGAAUCUGGAAGGCGGAGGUUGUGGUGAGCCGAGAUCGCGCCACUGCACUCCAGCCUGGCUGACAGAGUGAGACUUGAUCUCCAAAAAAAAAAAAAAAUUCAAACCAAGCUUAUUGGUAAGCUUAAUAAUCAUAAUUUUGUCAUGUUGAUAAUUAUGAAGUGCUGGGAAGGGAAGAGCGUGGUCCCUUUAAAUGAUACAGAACUGUGGAACGAAAGUGCUGGGUAGAGGAGGGUGUGGUCUCUGGCUAGAGUUCCACUCCUACAGACCUAGGUGAGGACAGGCAUUUCCUGCCCAAAUGUUGCAUUUCCCAAGACCACCCUGGCCUGCCAUGCCCCCAUCCUGUGCCUAUAAAAACCCUCAAGACCCUAAGCAGGCAGACACACAAGCUGCUGAACGUUGAAAGAAGCACGUUGCUGGAGGAACAAACACAGUGGCUAGGUGUCAAGAGGGAGGCACUGACAGGCUCCAGCAUGCUGGCAGGCCACCGAACAGCAGAACAACACAGAGUUGGGCUGUGACAGUUGGCCAAGGUCACUGAGUGGCCCGACUCCAGGGGAAAACCUCCCCACUUUAUCCCCUCCUGACUUCCCCCAUCUGCUGAGAGCUACCUCCACUCAGUAAAACCUUGCACUCAUUCUCCAAGCCCACGUAUGAUCCGAUUCUUCCGGUACACCAAGGCGAGAACCCGGGAUACAGAAAAUCCUCUUUCCCUGUGACAAGGUAGAGGGUGUAAUUGAGCUGGUUAACACAAGCCACCUAUAGACUAAAACUAAAACUAAAAGAGCUCACGGUAACAUGCGCCCACUGGGGCUUCAGCUGUAAACAUUCAUCUCUAGAUACUGCUAUGAGGUGGGAGCCCCACAGCCUGCCCAUCUGUCUACUCCCCUAGAGGUCUGAGCACCGGGGCACUGAAGAGGCGAGCCACAUCCCCAUCGCAGGCCCUGCAAGGGGGACAAGGGAACCUUUCCCAUUUCAAUGUGAACCUUUACAGCUUAUUUUAUUGCAAAAAAAGUUUUAUUACAAUUGCCACCAAAUAUGGAACACACAGCGAGGCUAUGCAUGUUUCUUAUUUAUUGAUUGAUUGACUGAUGGACUGGCUGAGACAGAGUUUCCCACUUGUCACCCAGGCUGGAGUGCAGUGGUGCGAUCUCAGCUCACUGCAACCUCUGCCUUCUGGGUGUAAGCGAUUCUCCUGCCUCAGCCUCCCGAGUAGCUGGGAUUACAGGCAGGCACCACCACGCCUGGCUAAUUUUUUGUAUUUUUAGUAGCGAUGGGGUUUCAUCAUGUUGGCCAGGCUGGUCUCAAACAACUGACCUCAGGUGAUCCACCUACCUCGGCCUCCCAAAGGGCUGGGAUUACAGGCGUGAGCCACCGCGCCUGGCCUCCAUUUAUUUGUAAAUAGAUAAUUCUCAACAGUAUGUUUACUCUGGAUAAACAUCAGUCAGUGCGUAGAACUGGUAAAUGUCAGAGAAAUGUAUCACUUAUCAGAGCGUCUCACAGUCUAGUCCUGUAUUUCUUCUGAACUCACGCUCUGCAAAGCCAGGGCUGAAUGUAUCUACCAUACCUGCUUGUUUACCUCCAAACCUUGCAAUACAUUUAUACAAAAUAUUUAUUUCACAGCUUAUCUUAAAACAAAUGUAAAAGGUAUCUUCAAAUAAAUCAGACUGAAUCUCUUA